rnacentral:rRNA from 1 species
CAGCAGCCGCGGUAAUACGUAGGGUGCAAGCGUUAAUCGGAAUUACUGGGCGUAAAGCGUGCGCAGGCGGUUUGUUAAGACAGAUGUGAAAUCCCCGGGCUCAACCUGGGAACUGCAUUUGUGACUGGCAAGCUAGAGUCUGGCAGAGGGGGGUGGAAUUCCGCGUGUAGCAGUGAAAUGCGUAGAUAUGCGGAGGAACACCGAUGGCGAAGGCAGCCCCCUGGGCCAACACUGACGCUCAUGCACGAAAGCGUGGGGAGCAAACAGGAUUAGAUACCCGGGUAGUCCCUGUCUCUUAUAC